rnacentral:rRNA from 1 species
CCCUUAGAUGUUCUGGGCCGCACGCGCGCUACACUGACGAAGUCAGCGAGCAUGUCCUAAGCCGACAGGUGCGGGGAAUCUUGUCAAACUUCGUCGUGAUGGGGAUUGAUUAUUGAAAUUCUUGAUCAUCAACGAGGAAUUCCUAGUAAGCGCAAGUCAGCAGCUUGCGUCGAUUACGUCCCUGCCCUUUGUACACACCGCCCGUCGCUACUACCGAUUGAAUGGUUUAGUGAGAUCUUCGGAUUGGCGCCACUGCGGCUCAGCAAUGGGCUCGGUGGAUGCCGAAAAGUUGAUCAAACUUGAUCAUUUAGAGGAAGUAAAAGUCGUAACA